CUAGAAACCGUAUGGUAGAAUGUCUGUUAUUCUGAAUAAUUUAUUUCAAGAAACCCCCAGAAUUGCUGAAAUUCUUUUGUACAGCCAGAGGUAGUGUCUCCAGCACUAUAGCGGCAGUUAUUAAGAGGCUGAAAUCAGCAAUCCUGGCAGUCUGUCUGAUUAGCCAAUAGAAUAAUGAUUUGACCUGACUGCCAAGCACUGAGGAUUCCUAUCUGGGGCUCACCACAGAGGUCCUUCUGGGCAUCUGGUCAAGUGUGGCAUGAUGGAGUCUGGCAGGCUGUAUUUCCCUGGUCU
rnacentral:lncRNA from 1 species